CCUACGGGAGGCUGCAGUGAGGAAUAUUGGUCAAUGGGCGCGAGCCUGAACCAGCCAAGUAGCGUGAAGGAUGACUGCCCUACGGGUUGUAAACUUCUUUUAUAAAGGAAUAAAGUGAGGCACGUGUGCCUUUUUGUAUGUACUUUAUGAAUAAGGAUCGGCUAACUCCGUGCCAGCAGCCGCGGUAAUACGGAGGAUCCGAGCGUUAUCCGGAUUUAUUGGGUUUAAAGGGAGCGUAGAUGGGUUGUUAAGUCAGUUGUGAAAGUUUGCGGCUCAACCGUAAAAUUGCAAUUGAUACUGGCAGCCUUGAGUACAGUUGAGGUAGGCGGAAUUCGUGGUGUAGCGGUGAAAUGCUUAGAUAUCACGAAGAACUCCGAUUGCGAAGGCAUCUUACGAAUCUGCGACUGACGCUGAUGCACGAAAGUGUGGGUAUCAAACAGGAUUAGAUACCCGUGUAGUC
rnacentral:rRNA from 1 species